rnacentral:lncRNA from 1 species
AGGUUUUGCUAUAGUUACUAUGAUGAAUACCAGGGGGAGAUUUAUAGAUCCACUGAACAUCUAGAUAAAAUGGGUAUGAGUGUUACAGAACAAUUAGACCCUGUAUCUUUUACCAAUUACAUGAAGAAAUAUCGUAACUAUAUGUGGAAGACUUCCCAUUCGGGUGUUAUUAAAUGCUAUCACAGAGCUCCAGAAGAAUGGAAUGAAUAUGAGCUUUUCCUUUUUGAAUUAUGCCCAGUCAAGCCAGUGUAGAAACUGGCAAGACAAUUCAGUGAGUUAUGCAGCUGGAACACUCAUGGUCC